rnacentral:rRNA from 1 species
GAUGAACGCUAGCGGCAAGCUUAAUACAUGCAAGUCGAGGGGCAGCAUGAAUGUAGCAAUACAUUUGAUGGCGACCGGCAAACGGGUGCGGAACACGUACACAACCUUCCUAUAAGUGGGGAAUAGCCCAGAGAAAUUUGGAUUAAUACCCCGUAACAUAAUGAUGUGGCAUCACAUUAUUAUUAUAGCUUCGGCGCUUAUUGAUGGGUGUGCGGCUGAUUAGAUAGUUGGCGGGGUAACGGCCCACCAAGUCUACGAUCAGUAGCUGAUGUGAGAGCAUGAUCUGCCACACGGGCACUGAGACACGGGCCCGACUCCUACGGGAGGCAGCAGUAAGGAAUAUUGGUCAAUGGACGCAAGUCUGAACCAGCCAUGCCGCGUGAAGGAUUAAGGUCCUCUGGAUUGUAAACUUCUUUUAUCUGGGACGAAAAAAGGCUAUUCUUAGUCACUUGACGGUACCAGAUGAAUAAGCACCGGCUAACUCCGUGCCAGCCGCCGCCGUAAAAC